ACUCCUACGGGAGGCAGCAGUGGGGAAUAUUGCACAAUGGGGGAAACCCUGAUGCAGCCAUGCCGCGUGUGUGAAGAAGGCCUUCGGGUUGUAAAGCACUUUCAGUAGGGAGGAAGGUAGUGUAGUUAACACCUGCAUUAUUUGACGUUACCUACAGAAGAAGCACCGGCUAACUCCGUGCCAGCAGCCGCGGUAAUACGGAGGGUGCGAGCGUUAAUCGGAAUUACUGGGCGUAAAGCGCAUGCAGGCGGCCUGUUAAGUCAGAUGUGAAAGCCCGGGGCUUAACCUCGGAAUUGCAUUUGAAACUGGCAGGCUAGAGUCUUGUAGAGGGGUUAGAAUUUCAGGUGUAGCGGUGAAAUGCGUAGAGAUCUGAAGGAAUACCAGUGGCGAAGGCGGCCCCUGGACAAAGCUGACGCUCAGAUGCGAAAGCGUGGGAGCAAACGAGGAUUAGAUACCCCUGGUAGACUGUCA
rnacentral:rRNA from 1 species